rnacentral:rRNA from 1 species
ACAGGAUUCCCUUAGUAAUGGCGAAUGAACAGGGAUGAGCUCAACAUGGAAAUUGAGGCUUCUGGCUUUGAAUUUAAUCUCAAGAUGUAUUGCUAACGGGGGCGCGGAUGUAAGCCUCUUGGAAAAGAGAAUCAUUGAGGGUGAGAAUCCUGUUUGUCAUCCGCAGUCCUCCGUGCACGGCGUACGUUCUACGAGUCACGUUCCUCGGGAUUGGAGCGCAAACUGGGUGGUAAAUUUCAUCUCAAGCUAAAUAUGGGUUCGAAACCGAUAGCAAACAAGUACCAUGAGGGAAAGAUGAAAAGGACUUUGAAAAGAGAGUUAAAAGUGCCUGAACUUGCUGAAAGGAAAGCGGAUGGAACCAGUGUUGCUUGGUAAGAUUGUUGCGCGCUAUGGUGAUUCUUGCUGCGCCAGCGCAAGCGGUGCUGUGGGUUGAAUCUUGUUGCGCGUGAUGCUUCUUGCCUUGUUCGUCACCGUCGGUUUGGGGGUGAGGACAACUCUUGGGACAUGGUAGCUCGCCUCUGGGUGUGUGAACGUGCCUUGUAGAACUCAUUCCCCUAGACUGUCAAUUGAACGUGUGGUCGCGCUGUCGUUCGCUGGCUUGCGCCCGACGAUCGCAAGGUCGUCGCGCCAAGCUAGCCUCGGCACCUUCCGCACAUCGCCAUGGUGACUAAAUGGUUCUAUUCGACCCGUCUUGAAACACGGACCAAGGAGUCUAACAUAUGUGCGAGUUCUUGGGUUUGAAACCUACGUGCGCAAUGAAAGUGAUUACUGAGAAUCUAGCAUCAGCAGCCGACCGAUCAAUUGGGAGAGGUUUGAGCAUGAGCAUAUCUGUUAGGACCCGAAAGAUGGUGAACUAUGCCUGUGAAGGGCGAAGUCUGGGGAAACUCAGAUGG